ensembl:lncRNA
UUCAAAUUCACUCCUUCGAGCUAGCUUAGAUACUGAUUGACUUUGUCAUCUGCAAGCUACUCUGCUGGGCUAUGUUCUGUCCAUAGAUGGUCGCUUUCCCCAGGCUGUCAAACACCUCAAGCUGAAAAGUGUUAAUGUGGAAGCUGAGGAGUGGUUCAUUAGGGCAAGGUGCUUGCCGUACAACACUGAGGACCCACUGGGUUUGUAUGCCUGGAGCCCAUGUAGAAGCUGGACACAUAGAGCAAUUGUCUACAAUGCCAACUGUUGGGGAGAUGAGGGGCAGAGACUGAGUCCGCAGGAGCCCAUGGACCAGCUAGCCUGAAACACACAGCAGAGAAGUUACCAAGUGACCUGCCUUCAAUAUGUGGAAGAACAAACUUUUUAAAAACCCUCACACUAGCAAAGUGUUUUCCAGAAGGCCUGCAUUUAUUUGCAUCACCACGGGAAGACCUGUCAUCAUUUCGCCAGCAGGGAAGAUACUAAAAGUGUGUUAAUUCAGAAGUGGGUAGACAGGAUCCACUACAAAAGGAAACGUCAUCUUGUUUGAGUCCACAGCAAGUGAUUUAUACAACUGAAGAUAAACUUCCUAAUCAUCUCUGGAAGAAACCGGUCUCUUUCUGCAGUAGUUUUUAAUUGAACUUUGAAAGGAGGGCAUCAUAAUUUUUGAUAUACACUUCCUAACCAUGUUCCUGAUUUGUACUGAAUAAAAUAAAAUUAGCAGUGAAUGUUGCUGAUACACAGAACCAUGUGUUUGGGAUUCAUCCAGCAUUUGUUAAGCCUCAUGCAUGUCGCAUAAAUGUCAAGGACAGGAGAUCCCUGUCCAAAGACACAGUAUGACUGGCGGGGAGGCCAGACCGAGUGUUCUCUCUAGAGUUUAUGUCUAACACGAAGGUACCUGGAAGGCUCUUAAACUGAGAUAUGGUACCGCCGUGGAGUUAUACUUGCAUG